rnacentral:rRNA from 1 species
CCUACGGGUGGCAGCAGUGAGGAAUAUUGGUCAAUGGACGAGAGUCUGAACCAGCCAAGUAGCGUGAAGGAUGACUGCCCUAUGGGUUGUAAACUUCUUUUAUAUGGGAAUAAAACGUUCCACGUGUGGGAUUUUGUAUGUACCAUAUGAAUAAGGAUCGGCUAACUCCGUGCCAGCAGCCGCGGUAAUACGGAGGAUCCGAGCGUUAUCCGGAUUUAUUGGGUUUAAAGGGAGCGUAGGGGGAUUGUUAAGUCAGUUGUGAAAGUUUGCGGCUCAACCGUAAAAUUGCAGUUGAAACUGGCAGUCUUGAGGACAGUAGAGGUGGGCGGAAUUCGUGGUGUAGCGGUGAAAUGCUUAGAUAUCACGAAGAACUCCGAUUGCGAAGGCAGUUCACUGGACUGCAACUGACACUGAGGCUCGAAAGUGUGGGUAUCAAACAGGAUUAGAUACCCUUGUAGUC